UCCUAUGGAUGAGCAAAGAAAGUGGUUUCUUUAGUUACAAUUUACUCCUGGUGAAGAUCCUAUGAA
rnacentral:pre_miRNA from 2 species